GGGUGAGUAACACGUAUCCAACCUGCCGACAACACUGGGAUAGCCUUUCGAAAGAAAGAUUAAUACCGGAUGGUAUAGUUUUCCCGCAUGGGAUGAUUAUUAAAGAAUUUCGGUUGUCGAUGGGGAUGCGUUCCAUUAGGCAGUUGGCGGGGUAACGGCCCACCAAACCUACGAUGGAUAGGGGUUCUGAGAGGAAGGUCCCCCACAUUGGAACUGAGACACGGUCCAAACUCCUACGGGAGGCAGCAGUGAGGAAUAUUGGUCAAUGGACGAGAGUCUGAACCAGCCAAGUAGCGUGAAGGAUGACUGCCCUAUGGGUUGUAAACUUCUUUUAUACGGGAAUAAAGUGAGCCACGUGUGGCUUUUUGUAUGUACCGUAUGAAUAAGGAUCGGCUAACUCCGUGCCAGCAGCCGCGGUAAUACGGAGGAUCCGAGCGUUAUCCGGAUUUAUUGGGUUUAAAGGGAGCGUAGGCGGGUUGUUAAGUCAGUUGUGAAAGUUUGCGGCUCAACCGUAAAAUUGCAGUUGAUACUGGCGACCUUGAGUGCAACAGAGGUAGGCGGAAUUCGUGGUGUAGCGGUGAAAUGCUUAGAUAUCACGAAGAACUCCGAUUGCGAAGGCAGCUUACUGGAUUGUAACUGACGCUGAUGCUCGA
rnacentral:rRNA from 1 species